rnacentral:rRNA from 1 species
GUUCUUCGGAAGUAGAGACCGGCGCACGGGUGCGUAACGCGUAUGCAAUCUACCUUUUGCAGAGGGAUAGCCCAGAGAAAUUUGGAUUAAUACCUCAUAGUAUAGCAGUUUCGCAUGAAACCACUAUUAAAGUCACAACGGCAAAAGAUGAGCAUGCGUCCCAUUAGCUAGUUGGUAAGGUAACGGCUUACCAAGGCUACGAUGGGUAGGGGUCCUGAGAGGGAGAUCCCCCACACUGGUACUGAGACACGGACCAGACUCCUACGGGAGGCAGCAGUGAGGAAUAUUGGACAAUGGGCGCAAGCCUGAUCCAGCCAUGCCGCGUGCAGGAUGACGGUCCUAUGGAUUGUAAACUGCUUUUGUACAGGAAGAAACACUCCCUCGUGAGGGAGCUUGACGGUACUGUAAGAAUAAGGAUCGGCUAACUCCGUGCCAGCAGCCGCGGUAAUACGGAGGAUCCAAGCGUUAUCCGGAAUCAUUGGGUUUAAAGGGUCCGUAGGCGGUUUAGUAAGUCAGUGGUGAAAGCCCAUCGCUCAACGGUGGAACGGCCAUUGAUACUGCUAGACUUGAAUUAUUAGGAAGUAACUAGAAUAUGUAGUGUAGCGGUGAAAUGCUUAGAGAUUACAUGGAAUACCAAUUGCGAAGGCAGGUUACUACUAAUGGAUUGACGCUGAUGGACGAAAGCGUGGGUAGCGAACAGGAUUAGAUACCCUGGUAGUCCACGCCGUAAACGAUGGAUACU